GUGGGCGUAGUUUAAGCAAAGCAUUAGAUUGUGAUUCUAAAAAUAGGGGUUAAAAUCCCCUCACCCACC
rnacentral:tRNA from 1 species